rnacentral:lncRNA from 1 species
CCCCACCCUUCCCUUCAAGGCUGCAUUAGGAGCUGACAACUUCUACUUGAGCCUCAGCCUUGCAGGUAAAUGAAGGCAAACCCAUUCUCUCUUCACAUGGCAAAUAGGAAAACACCUCCCUAGAUACCUGUUACAUAACUUGGAGAAAGCUGUUAACUCCUCAUGAAUGACCCUAGGGCUUCACCUUCACAGGAACCUCCGGGAUGCCCAAGGCAGAGAUGUGCAGGGUCAGGAUGGACCGAGAGGAUGCUGCUGGAAUUAAGCAUCUUGGACUGACCUCUGCUUGAUCUCUCCUCUCCCCACCCUAGUCUUGCUCUUCCGCAUAUCCCCCCACCCUCAAUCUUCCACGUACCAUCCUCACUCUUCACCCUCUUUCCUUCUCGCCCCCUCUGUCCCAUCCCUAUCUCUCUUCCCCACCUAUCUUGUUCAAUAAAAUCCCCAUUGUUCACUUCCAUAAAUGGUCUCGUUGGCACUUUAAUUCGCGCACAGAAAUCUCUCCCUAAUCCCAUCUCAACAGGGCCAUACAUCUACACACAGCACUCGAGGUCUGGCCUCCCCAUUGCCCGACACAGAGUGACAGUCACGCUGUGGCCUGCUCCUGGUGGCCACAUUAGUGCUGACACAGAAGCCCAGGAUGCCACUCUCCUCGUCCCCAAUUUGGGCAAACACCGGCUCACAUUUGGCUACUCUCAGCCAGCACCCCAAGGCCUUUCUUGCCGGGCACAUUCCCAGCCACUCUGCCCCCAGCCUGGGCCACAGCAGGGGCUUCUUGGGACACAAGGGCAGCACCAAGGCCUUGCUCUUCUUGAACCUCACCCCGCUGGCCUCACACCACCCAGCCAGCCUUGCUACAUCUGCCUCCAGAGCCGUCCUCAUCUCCAGAAAAUCAACACUCCCACCCACAUUGGUGUCAUCACGAAGUUAUUACUGAGGGUACCCUGCAUGCCCUUGCCCACACCCGCAGGACACACACUGAACAGGACUGGGCCCAGGGGACACAGCUCGUGACCACACACCGCUGGAUGCGGCACCAUUCCUCACCACUCUCUGCAUGUGGCCAUCCUGAC